rnacentral:lncRNA from 1 species
AUGAUGUGCUUUUAUUUGGCGUUGUUAAUAUUUUUGCUCCAUCCUCAAGAGCAGGGCGCUCAUUUUAAGAGACUUCCACCGAAGGAGCGUUACAAGGAGAAUAGUCCCUGCGCAGGCUUCAGAAAUAAAACAAUCAACUGCAAGAGAGACUGCAAAAACCUGGCCACUGAAUUCAGUACGAUGAAAUCUACCUGUCAGAAAGAGAUCAAAAAUACGGUCGCGAACCUAGAUAACUUUUUCACUGGAACGUGUGAGGAGCUAACGGAAGGUGCUUGCAGAUGGGUAGAUGCUACUGCAGAAGCGAUGAUAAGUCGAUCAAGACCCAACGAUUGUCGUAUUGCAGAGAGCAGGCUAGAGACAUCGCCGACAGUAUUUUUAAGACUUUCCAAAUUAACAUUUAGAUUAUAGAGGCUCAUUUUAUAGGUAUGGUUGUAACUAGAGAAAGGAUUAGUCAUCAUUCCGGUAUCUUCCAGUGAAAACACUUGAUAUCCGUAAACCAUAUGCCGAACGAUCACAGGAGUAAACAGGCUGCAGGUGCCAACACCACUAGGUUGGAGAACUCGCCCUUGGGCAGUUAUGAACAUUCCCCGUUUUUCGUUCUCAUACACUCCAUUGCUGUUAAAAGUCAAUAUUUUGUCUUUGUGGGAUUUCUUUGAGCAAACGAUGGACAUUGAUCCCUCUAAGCCGUGGUAUUAUUUCCAUCUCCUCCUUCCCUCCUUCUUUUAUGGCCUGUUUCACUUGACUUCAACACAAUUUUCGCCUUCAAAAUUUGUGCAGGCAAAGUGAUUUACUUGGGUGUUCAAACAGUCACCUACAGCCGUUUUCUACAUUCAUUCUGUCAAUGUAAAAUGUUAAAUGGAUUUAUAUUGUGUAUAAAGUUAUACUGAAACCACGAAAAUACGUUGAUGUGGAAUGGUGUUCAAAAAUCUAUGCUCAUAAUUCAUUUUAUCAAGAGUACACUACUAAAAAUGUACGUACAAAAUUUUCCGAGUAUAUCUUUUUAUAGAGCAAAGGAGAAUCACCAAAUAUUUCUGGGAAAUUUGAAAACCUGUCAGGAAAAUCUAUCAUAUCUGAAAUGAACGGUAAAGAUGUAUUUCAGUAACUAAAACCGAAAGUUUGAUGGUUUAAUUUUUUCAUUUUUUGUGUAAGAAAAAUGAUCACCUGACACAUGCAAUCAGAGUAAUAAAAGAUAAUCUAAAUAUGUUAUGUGAGACAAUAGAUUUAAGUUCAAUAGAAGUUAUAACACGACAUAUACAUUUGCUUUCUCUUUUUUGUUAAGUAAUCCGUAAAACUAUUUCCUUCAUAAAUACAGAAAAUCAGUAAACAGUCUUAUUUUCAGUUUACCAUUUCUAUCAUUAAAAUCCUACUUUUUCUAAAUCCAAUCAAAAGAUUUAUUAAAAAAUUUCAUCACUUGAUAAUAUGAAAAAGGAUUUGGAAUGCGGCUAUCAAAUUGGCAUCGUGACAAAAAAAAAAAAAAACGUAAGCAACAUUAACAAACAAUAACUGAGAAAAAUAUAAUCGCUUCCCGCCGCAUGAAAUGGUGGAUCUACCCGUAAACCAAAGCAGGGUCUCACCAUCAUAGCAUGUUACAAUUGGACGUAUUUAUGCUAAAACGAACUAUAAGCAUAGGAUUUGAGUGUAACAUAGUUCCUUUUAGCCAGUGGCGUAACUAGAAAUCUUCGCGCGCUCCCGCCGAUCUGAGGCUGCGCCCUUUCAUAUCAGAAGUUUUGAGCGGUGCACCCUCCUCCCCCUCCCCCUACCCAUUAAGUCAUUCAGAUCUUAAUAAAUGGGAGAAAAUCAAGGUAUCGCUAUGAGAAUAGAACGAAAAGUGAAGAGGAAAUUCAAGUCCCAAAAGAGUAUGAAAAAAUGUGAAACUUACAUGAAAUUUUUGCAUGAUCAACAUUUUUUUCGUCUCGCCUUAGCAUUUGAAAACUCCUCAAUGAGUUGAUCGAAAUUUAAUGCAGCCUUUCCCCCCCCCCCCCAUUCGUUUUCCCAUUUUCCCCCAAAAU